rnacentral:rRNA from 4 species
UGUGAACUCGAAGAGUAGGGCGGGACACGUGGUAUCCUGUCUGAAUAUGGGGGGACCAUCCUCCAAGGCUAAAUACUCCUGACUGACCGAUAGUGAACCAGUACCGUGAGGGAAAGGCGAAAAGAACCCCGGCGAGGGGAGUGAAAAAGAACCUGAAACCGUGUACGUACAAGCAGUGGGAGCACCUUCGGGUGUGACUGCGUACCUUUUGUAUAAUGGGUCAGCGACUUAUAUUCUGUAGCAAGGUUAACCGUAUAGGGGAGCCGCAGGGAAACCGAGUCUUAACUGGGCGUUAAGUUGCAGGGUAUAGACCCGAAACCCGGUGAUCUAGCCAUGGGCAGGUUGAAGGUUGGGUAACACUAACUGGAGGACCGAACCGACUAAUGUUGAAAAAUUAGCGGAUGACUUGUGGCUGGGGGUGAAAGGCCAAUCAAACCGGGAGAUAGCUGGUUCUCCCCGAAAGCUAUUUAGGUAGCGCCUCGUGAACUCAUCUUCGGGGGUAGAGCACUGUUUCGGCUAGGGGGUCAUCCCGACUUACCAACCCGAUGCAAACUACGAAUACCGAAGAAUGUUAUCACGGGAGACACACGGCGGGUGCUAACGUCCGUCGUGAAGAGGGAAACAACCCAGACCGCCAGCUAAGGUCCCAAAGUCAUGGUUAAGUGGGAAACGAUGUGGGAAGGCACAGACAGCCAGGAUGUUGGCUUAGAAGCAGCCAUCAUUUAAAGAAAGCGUAAUAGCUCACUGGUCGAGUCGGCCUGCGCGGAAGAUGUAACGGGGCUAAACCAUGCACCGAAGCUGCGGCAGCGACACUAUGUGUUGUUGGGUAGGGGAGCGUUCUGUAAGCCUGCGAAGGUG